UUAUUAUUAAAAUUUCAGAUUUGUUGAGAGCAGAAUUUUCUUUGAGUUUUCUCCAAGAUUUCUCUCUUGAGUUUUCUUUAGAAGUUGUUUUAACAAUCUUGUGAUUGUGGGAGCCAUCUUCAACCUUCUUCUUGCCAUUGAUAUUCUUUGGAGGGGAGAUUAAAGCCGUUUGAAGGGAGUUGUGAGAUCUUUCGAGAUUUCAAGGCUUCUUAGGACUUAUCUUUUAAUUUCUUACUGUCAAUUCUUUCUUUAUUUCUACUUGUGCUGAAUCAUUAUCUAAUCUAUUUUCUGUUCUUAUUGUGUUUUCAGCCUUUUUCUAUCUUAAGGAAUCAGCCCAAAAAUCCCCAAUUUUUAGGGUUUUUCCAUACUCUUUUUGGGUGAAAUUAGAUUGUCGAAAUUUGGGGAAAACUAUCUUGGUGUUCAAUUGGGCAGAAUCACAAUCUCCUUGAGGGUUUCAAGAACCCUAAUACUUAUUUCUAUUCUCAAUUUGAUUCUUUGCUGAUUUGGGGAUUUUAUUUCAGAUCUGAAAAUUCAAAAAUCUAAUCUUUUAAUUUUCUGUUUCGUUUCAGAUCUAAUUGUUUAGGGUUUUCGUAGGAGUUUCUCGUGACUUGGCAACUCGAUCUUGGUCCGCGCGCAACCCCGUAUCAUUUGGUAUCAGAUUUUGGGCGUUUUGGGUGUUCUUGGUUGAUUUCUAAACUGAUCUCUAUUUUUUAAAUUACAAACAGCAGUUUUACCCAAAAAAAAAUUUCAAAACAAAUUCAUUUGAGUGGGUAAACGUUUUCUGAUUGAUCUGAAAUUUUACAUACAUAUUUUUGGCACUGUUAUUGAAUAUAAAAAAAUAUUUCCCGCAAAAAAAUAAGUCGAAAAAGUCAAAAAAUUGAAAAAGGACGAAAUCCAAUAAAAAAGUAAAAAAAUUUUCAGCGGGUUGAAUUUGGUGCCCAAAUUUUCCAGAUCAAAAAUUAAAUAUUUGAAGACAUUCCAGAUUUAAUUUCGUGAUUUUUGGAGAUCUGGAACACCUCGAACGAAGUUGUCAAGUUACUCCGCAGUUUUUCGGGUUUUCUGUUUUCAGCAAUUUUUAUUGAUUCUUAGCUGUAGGUUUUCAUUUGUUUCCCUUUAUUCUUCCUUUACGUUAUCUAACACCUUCUUGUUUCUUGUGUUAGUAGGAUUUAAACGUGGGCACAACUUCUUCCUCGGUGCAACACGAAUCAAUUGGUGUCUCGUCAGUUUUUGGCAUCCUAGUGCAAAUUAGGAUUCUUUGGUAGUUUGGUUCACACUCUCUAAUUGGUUGAUAUAAACUCUGAUAAAGAAAUCACAAGAUUGAAUUCAACCUCAUUGAGAAUUUGAUUUUUUCUUUUUGAGUGAUUAACGGUGAGGUUUGAUAACUUUUAUUUUUGAGUAUUGAGUGUUUUACAGGUUUUAAAAAAAAAUGUCUACAGGUGAUAAUACUAGUGACAUAUUUAAAAAAUUCCAACAACAGUUGAACGAACAGGCUGCUGCACUUCGAGCGUUGACUGCUACUAUCAAUGAGGUGCGGUUGAAUCAAGAGCCUCAAUAUCGAGAUCAAAUUAAAGACGAUGUGGAUAACCAGCCUCCUGCUCAUAGGCGCGCUCCUCGGCGUGUCCCUAGAACUGAUUAUGAUCUUCAUGAUCGUGGACAACCCUCUUUGGCAAAACCAAAGAGCGAGCAGCAACAAGAACAUCUCUUUCAUACUCGCUGCCAUGUACAAGGUAAGCUUUGUAGAGUUAUUAUUGAUGGUGAAAGUUGCUCGAACGUAGCCAGCACGACGAUGGUGGAAAAGCUUUGCUUAACCACUACCAAGCAUCCACGACCUUAUCAACUACAAGGGCUUAGCAACGAAAGCCAAUUUAAGGUCACUCAACAAGUGCGCAUCGCCUUUUCUAUCGGUAAAUAUCAAGACGAAGUCGUGUGCGACGUAGUACCUAUUCAAGCCUGCCAUUUAUUGCUAGGAGAACCAUGGCAACUGGAUCGAAAAGUCACUCACGAUGGUCGUACCAAUAGGUAUUCUUUCAAGCAUCAAGGAAAGAAACUUACCUUAGUGCCGCUCACUCCGGAACAAGUCUAUGAUGACCAAAUCAAACUGAGAAAUUCUGUUAAAACAAGUGAGGAAAAAGAAAAAAAGAAUGAAAAAGAGCAAAAAGAGAUUGAGAGUGAAAAGGAAUGUGAAACAGAAAAGAAAUUUGAAAAAGAAGUUGAAUAAAGAAGAGAAAAUGAGUUAGAAAAAGAAACAAAAAAAAAAGACGAGGAAAGGCUAGUGAGGAAUGUUUCCACUAACCAAGAUAUGAAUUUUUCUUGUGUUGCUACUUUUCAGGUUCCUGAAAGAUCGAAAGAUAACUUUCACCUUCAAUAUCUCUCAAAUGAAAGACGCUUUCAUACGAUCAACUUAGGCAAAGAUGAAAUCACACUACAUGAUCCCGAAGGUAAGCGAGGUAAGGAAAUUUUAGAAACCGAGUCCAGUGCAGAUUUGAAAAUUAUUGAUAAAACUUUUGGUGACUUAGUUCUUAAAAGAUCCCCUCAUUUUGAUCCGAUUAAUUGUUACUCUUCGAUUGUGGUUGAUAAAGUCAUUACGAAAAGAAGCGUGAUUUGUUAUUCUCUUGAUUUACCUUGUGUAAAAUCCUCGAAUUUGUCCAAAUCUAUUUUGGAGAAUAAGGUAACGAAAUUUUCCAAAUUUGUUUUCAAUUUAUAUUCGUGCCUUAAACAGUUUAUGUGGUUGUACAUGAAGUUUGAGUUCCAUUUGAUAAAGGUUAACUCAACAACGAAGAUUCGACUACACUAUGCCCCCGAUGAGCGAAGGUUUGUUUUAAAUGAAAAAGGUAAAAUCGACCCUUAUUCUUCUGCUUAUCGAGGUAAGAUGCUUGAAACCUUUGAAACACUUUUGUACUCCUCGGAUAGUGAUAAAGAUCGUGUUGAUGAACACUUAGAUCGAAACGUGCUUGACUGUCCUAUUUUAUUUAUUCUAUCUGUUUUGAUGGUUGAUAAAAAGAUUCUUGUUUUUGAUAAUGCAUGUGUGAGUGAAUCUAUAGACCGUCGAUUAAUGCAUGGUAUGAUUAUGCAACUCUGUGAACCAUGUGAAUCUUUUCAAAUACCUACUUGUGACGAUUAUGUUUACCAUUUGAUUUAUUACUCGCAAUUUAUUCAUGGUUUGUGGGAACAAUGUGAGACGACUGAAUGCCUUAAAACAUGUCCAUCUUUGUUUCAAAUAUUUGACGAGGCAGUGGUGAGUAAAUUAGAUUGUUUGCAUGGUAAUCUGAAUCUGUCCAUUCACAUGCGUUAUACCUGUUCUGUUAUGCUUAUGAUUGGACUACAAGCUUGUUUCCGUUGCUAUUUACUAUCUCAUGGCUAUUCUUUUCAGUGGACUCAAUUGCCAUUAGUCCCGUUCGAUAGAGGAAAGUCGAGUUCAUUUGAUUUUUCAGAUUCGAGGACGAAUCUUUUUGAGGAAAGGGGGAAUGAUACGAGUCACAAAAGCCCAAAUUCUUGAAGGCGAGGCCCAAUAAGCAAAUUCCCAGCCCAAUCAAGAAAUCCAUCCAUACUUAGUUGAAAAUCAGGCCAAAUUGUCAAAGUGGCCCAAGUUGUAAAGUUUUAUUUUUAUUUUUAUUUAUUUAUUUAUUUAUUUACUUAGUUUAAAUUUUUAUGUCAAUAUUCAGUCCAAGAGUCCCAGAUAAAAUGACCUUUGACCAAAUUUCCAUAUUAAAAUAAUUAGGAGUUUUUUUUUUAUUUUAGUUUUCUAAUUAGAUUAGGACUAGUUAUAAGGCCUAUUUAAAGGCAUGGCUGUCCACCUUGUUAAACACUUAUCAUUAUUAUUAAAAUUUCAGAUUUGUUGAGAGCAGAAUUUUCUUUGAGUUUUCUCCAAGAUUUCUCUUUUGAGUUUUCUUUAGAAGUUGUUUUAACAAUCUUGUGAUUGUGGGAGCCAUCUUCAACCUUCUUCUUGCCAUUGAUAUUCUUUGGAGGGGAGAUUAGAGCCGUUUGAAGGGAGUUGUGAGAUCUUUCGAGAUUUCAAGGCUUCUUAGGACUUAUCUUUUAAUUUCUUACUGUCAAUUCUUUCUUUAUUUCUACUUGUGCUGAAUCAUUAUCUAAUCUAUUUUCUGUUCUUAUUGUGUUUUCAGCCUUUUUCUAUCUUAAGGAAUCAGCCCAAAAAUCCCCAAUUUCUAGGGUUUUUCCAUACUCUUUUUGGGUGAAAUUAGAUUGUCGAAAUUUGGGGAAAACUAUCUUGGUGUUCAAUUGGGCGGAAUCACAAUCUCCUUGAGGGUUUCAAGAACCCUAACACUUAUUUCUAUUCUCAAUUUGAUUCUUUGCUGAUUUGGGGAUUUUAUUUCAGAUCUGAAAAUUCAAAAAUCUAAUCUUUUAAUUUUCUGUUUCGUUUCAGAUCUAAUUGUUUAGGGUUUUCGUAGGAGUUUCUCGUAACUUGGCAACUCGAUCUUGGUCCGCGC
rnacentral:lncRNA from 1 species